AGGGGGGAGGGGGGGAGGUGUAGCGAGGAACCUAAAGGAGGCGGUGAGGAAGUUUGAGUUUGUUUCUAACCUGAAAUUUAACCUUAAGAAAAGCUUUGUAGCGGGCAUCCACUUGAGGAAGGGCAACAAACUCUGUUGCCGACAUCUUAGAGUGCUCCAUCCCUUGACCUACCUUGGCUUUCCUUUAGGAGCAAACCCUAAAGAAAGCAGAUUAUGGAAUCCAGUUGUCAAAAGGUGUGCAAAGAAGCUGGCAGAAGUUCUCACCCCGUUUCUUUGGUCCCUUCUACAUCUCAGGGAGAGCGGAGAAGUGGCUUACAAAUUAGACUUGCCGAGUACUGCCCGCCUCUACCCAGUAUUUCAUGUCUUGCUUCUCAAGCCUUGUCGAACAAAUGCAGCCUUGGUGAAGCCACUAUUACCUGAGUUUAGUAGUGAAGGGCAGCUGAUUGUUGAGCACAAUGUCAUCUCAGAUAUCCGCUGGAUAAAGAUUGGUUGCAAAGUGGUGAAGCAAGCCCUUAUUCAGUGGACGAACCUGCCCGCGCAGAAGAUGCCACUUGGGAAGACUUCAGUAAGUUGCAGGAGCAGUUUCCCCAUCUUGACCUUGAGGCCAAGGUCAUUCUUAAGGGUGGGGGGAUGAUAGAACCUAAGUAGGUAAUUCGCCAUCGGGUCACUAGGCCCAUGUAGGUCAGGAAAGCCAGGCCCAUGUGGGUCGUGAGGUCCAUGCAGCAGCAGGAGCGGCACAUGCAGAGCAUUGCAAGCCUCCCCUGCGAUUCCUUUACAACCGCAGGCCACGUCUUAACCACCCACAUGCAUAAGCGCGUGAUCAUGAUGAGCUGAUUAGGAGAAAAGCCUAUAUAAGGCCUACGGGUAGAACGGAAUCAGUAGAAAAAGCAUAACCACUUAGUUUUCUCUCUUCUUCUUCUUCAUCUUCUCUCUCCCUCUCUCUCUCGUAACUCUGUUUCUGGAGGAAGGAGCUCCCUCGAAUAAGCUUCGUCACUUAGAGCCUAUCACUGGCUGCCAGGAAGAGAAAUUAUGUAUUAUUGGGCGGAAGAAUUACUUUGAUCAAAUCCACUCUUGCCAUCCUACCAAUUUAUAUUUGUCAGUUUUUAGGAUUCCUCAAAAGGAGGCAAAAAAGUUGAAAAAAUCAUGAGAGGUUUCCUUUGAGAUCCGGGUGAUGGAUAGAAAGACCAUUUGGUUAAAUGGGAGGUGACUGAAGGAAAGGGAUAGACUGUGGCAUGAAGUCAUUGCUAGCAUACAUGGGAGGUUAGGAAAUGGUUGGGAUGUGGGAGUAUCUAACAGGGCUAACAGGGAGUAUCUAACAGGGCUACACUGACCUCUCCGUGGAAAGCCAUCCACUGCGCCUUGCUUCUUUUACUUCGGUCUAUCUGAGGUCUAAGAGAUAGUGUAAUCUCAGCUUGCUCAGAUCUGUUACAAAUCCUUCAAAAUGUUAGUUUGGACCUUGAGAAGUCUGAAAAGCAUAUUUGGGCUC